rnacentral:rRNA from 1 species
UACAGAGGUCCCGAGCGUUGUUCGGAUUCACUGGGCGUAAAGGGUGCGUAGGUGGUGAGGUAAGUCGGAUGUGAAAUCUCCGAGCUCAACUCGGAAAUGGCAUUGGAAACUACCUUGCUCGAGGGUUGGAGGGGGGACUGGAAUACUUGGUGUAGCAGUGAAAUGCGUAGAUAUCAAGUGGAACACCAGUGGCGAAGGCGGGUUGCUGGGCUGACACUGACGCUGAAGCGCGAAAGCUAGGGGAGCGAACGGG